GUCCUUCAAAAUUAAGUCCCGAGGGGCUACAUUGGGUUCGCCGGCGCAAGCUGGCUAUGGCGAUAAACGGCCCGUGCAAUAAGCGGAUCGGACCCGGGGGCGGUACCCGGCGGCUCCACCGGAGCCUCUUUUCGAGGAGGUUGCGGCGGGGCCGAAAUAGGAUCGACGAGCGUGUAAAGACGACGCUUUCGCCCGGUUGGCCUCCGUUAUUUGGCCAAGACCUAUAGUUGCCAACGACAACUAUCGGAACGAGCUCGCUCUCGCUGCGUAAUGCGGCUGAGCUGCUCACUUUGAAGUCCUAGCCCUUUUCCCGGGUUAGGCGGGGCCCCCGGCGCCUGGCAACAGAAGCCGGGACU
rnacentral:tmRNA from 1 species